AGGGAAAUUAAAGAUGUUUUAAUUCUACAAUAUCAGCUAAAAGUUUUUUAAAAGCUGCAAACGUUUUAGAUUUAUUUUUUUUUUCUAACCAACACAAACAAUUUUGAUCGUGAAUAUCUGAAUUUUGAAUCUGAAGCUGUAAAGAAAAAUCUUGUAAUUUAUGACUGCUUAUGUAGCGAAAAUAACUAUUACAAUUUUCGAUAAAUAACUUUUAACCGAGUAAGUUGAUCCACACAAAUAAACUUUUACUUGAAUAUUUAUUAGACUUUUAUUAGUAUACGGACAAAAUUGUAUUUAAUUUGUAAUGCUACUUUCUCAAAUUUGCAGCUAAGUACUACAAAACGUAAUUUUGCAUAAGAAUUAAGAGUAAGCACAAAAUGAAAUAACUUUUAAACCAAUAAGAAAAUGUGUUCAAAUUUUACGGAAAUAUUUAAACGUAAUAAUGGAACAAUCUGUAAAAAUUGAAAAUUUUUAAUAAUACUUUGAAAUAUGGUAGAUACACUCUUAAAACAUUUUAAAAUUAAAAGAAAAUAAAGUUUUAGUAUCAUUUUCGUGUAGGUAUAUGAAAUGUCUAUAAAUAUUACUCAAUUAUCUUUAACCCUUUGCGUGAUGGUGUAGGUCUCUCUAGUUUGUAAUUAUUUUAACAAUUUUUUAACCUUUUAAAGUCGGUUUUUUGCUUUAUGAUAGUUCAUGAUACCUUAAGAUAUGUUUAAAAAAUAUAUAUUACCACAAAUUUCUAUUCAUUUACUUGCUACAAUAAACAAAUAUCCCAAAUUUGUUGCUUUUUUAAAAGAAACUCAUUUUCUCUCAGAGGAGAGUGCCAAUUUCUACAAAACUCUACAUCUGGGAGUUUACAUCCGAUUACGAAAAGUUUUAAAAUUCUAAAUGGUGGAUCUAAUAUGGCGAGCAUAAAAUUAACAAUUGAACUAAUUUCCGUGAAACUUAGUAUCUAGGAAUUUCGUCAUAUUGGAUCCACUAUUUUAAAUUUUGAAAAUCUGACAAUGGAUUCGUAAUCAGCACUCAGGAAAACCCCUAGAUACUAAACUUUACAGGAUUUGGUUUAAUUUCUAGUUUUACGUUCGCUAUAUUUUAAAUUUUGAAAAUCUGUUAUUAGAUUCGUAAUCAACGACCCCUGAAUACAGAGUUUUAUCGAAAUUAAUAAGUAAGAAUAAUUCGUGGCUUAAAGGGUUAAACAUAACGUCACACUAACGGAAACCGUGCUAUCGUAAAAGGACGCGUAAUUCAAAUUCAUUCAUUAUUUAUUAGAGGAUGGGCAAUGGCUGAAAUUUUGCACGUUAAAAGCCAACACGUGGCGGCUACUCUCUCAACCUUUUGAACUCGGAGAAACCUUCUUCAUGUAAAAAUUUAAGGUAUGCCAUUUGCCGAGUUGCAAGAAACGGUAGAUAAGACUCGGUAGACAGCCCCGCAAUCGAGCCCGAAAUUCGCGGAGAGCGCGAGAGUUUAAUACUCCCCUUCUUAUGUAAACCGUGUGCGCCGUCGUUGCUUCCGACUACGCGGUGCUCCAGCGUACAUACCAUGUCGGAGUCGGAGAUCGCGCGCGUGAGAGCGGUUGCCGCCGCCGCCGCCGCCGCGCGCCGGCAGCGACGGCGGCGGCGGCGGCUGCUACAGUGACGGCGAUGGUGGGAUUGGAGGGGAGCGGGCGGCAGUGGUGGGCAGUGGUGGGGGAAGGGAGCGGUGAUGGUAGUGGUGCGGCGCGUAUAUACGCUCCGCGCGGCGCACACCUGACCAGUACUCGAGUGGUAGUCGAGGGAGAAGAACGUGUUCUUUUCGACCCGGCCUCUCGUCGCGUUAUUCGGUCGCGCACGCCGCGCCGCCGGCGAAACGUCGUCACCGUCGUCGUAGUCGUCGCUGUUGCCGCCGCCGCCGUCGCCGCUGCCUCCCUCUCGCACGGUGUGCGGUGCGAAGUACUGGUCGCCAGGGUUGGAGUGCGCGAGUGCUACAGUGCUCGUCGGCUUCGACGACAGUGUCCCCGUACUUGUGGUGUCGUGCGCGUGUCGUACCGUGUGGUAGCCGCCGGGGAUACGAACGUAAUACGAAAUGGAGCCACGGCGCGAAAAGGAUACUCGAUUGAGGAUCAUCGACUGGAUGACACCGUAUCGCCAACGCUUCGAGGAGUCCAGAGGAGCGGCAGCUGUGAUUAACGUUUCAUGCCGAUAUUAGGAGCUUCUAUAUAUACAUGUUGAAUAUAUAUAUAUAUCGUUGAUAUCUAUAUAGAUAUAUAUGUAUACAUACACACACAUGUUCCAUAUAUUUUUGGAUUGCCUGUUGAAGCAAGAGCGCAACCUGAUCCUAGCGGGUGAGUACGCAUUAAAUGAUGUAAAAAGUUUUACGAUGGGGAGGCUUCUCGCAUAAAUUUUUUGAUAUUAUAUAUUCAAAUUAUUGCAUAUGAAGUAAUAUCAAGUGACAUUUACAAGUAGCAAAAUAAAUUAAUCGUAAACGUGAUAAUGCCGAUUUCAAAGUAGGAAUCAUUUAUAGAUAUUUUAAUUAGAUAUCAUUUUAUCAAUGUCUGCAGUUUAUAUAACGACGUUUAAAAAAGGUAGUUAUUUCUGAAAUCUAUUACUGAUAACUUAUUAUUGAAAUCGUGAGAUAUCUAUUAUAAGCUUGGCUUAUAAUAUCUUUCACUGAGAUAUCACUCUGAAUAUUCUUUUAUUAAUACACAAUAAUUCUAUAUAUGUAAAAGAAUGAUGAACAUAAUUAAGUGUAGAGAAGAUAUAUAUAUUUACAUUUUUUUAUAUAUACACGAAUCCAAGCACCAUCAUCGCAUAAUGGUCUGUCGUAAAAGUGCGACAGUAAAAAAAAACGAAACUAAUAAUUUUAUAGUCACUUAUCAUCGUCCAUACAACUUUUUUCAAUCUCGAAAUAAUCAAUCUUUCCCGAUCAUUUGCGAAUUACGUGUCGCCCUGCAGAAUAGCGGCGAUGACGUUUAAUUUUCACGAGGUGCUCGCAUAUUGUGCGCGAAAUGACGCAGUUUCAACGACGAUCAUUUUUGCGGGUAGUAUAUAAAUGAUUCUAUUAUGUGUCGUCCUAUUUUGCCGGUGAGUUUAUCGAUCCAUUCAGCCGUGUGUGAUACUAUCAUAAGCAAAGUGCACCUACCUACGAUGCUACGAUUCAAAAAUCUAUAAUAUUGCUCUCUUUUAUUUCUAUUAAGAUAUUUUUUUAAUAUUUUAAUGUGCGGAUUUGAUUUAAAAAUAAAAGUUUAUAUUUUUUAUAGAUUAUAUUUUUUAUUCUACCAUUAGGUAUUUUACAAAUCGGUAAAUUGAUUUUAAACAAAUAUUUUUUACUUACUUAAUUUUUUCUAAAAAAUCAACCUGUUACAUAAAGCAAAAAGCAAAAGAAAAGUUAUUUGCAAUUUUACAACGAAAACAAUGGUUGCUAAAAGUUUUUGCUGUUUUAUUAAAGCAAUUUUAUUAAAGCAAACUUAAUUUUUUCGAUAUUUAUAACAAUACUGUCAAUCGACUUAUAGAUUCAAAUACAAAGAAAUUUCUAAAAUACAUUAAUCUCGCGAGAUUAGCUAGGUUAUCGUAAUUUAGGUCUAAUAAAGAUAUCAAGCACGCGAUCGCAUAGUGAAUAAUUACGACACAUCGUAUAUAGUCGCGACUGCACGUGGCUGGCGCGCAAGUUCGAGUCGAUUGUAAUUAUAAAUAAUUGGUGAUCGUGUUGGGGAAGACUUUUUUAACGUCGUCAUCAUUCAGGGUCAUUCAAAUAACAUAUUACUUUAUAUACAAUAUGUUACUGCGUGCGAAAUGUAAUUAAUGGGCGAAUUAAAUAUAAAAACUAGACGGAUUGCCUGCGUAGCAGUUAGAACAUUGUCCAAAAUUGUCAGAGAAACAGAAUGAUGAAACAGCUCAUAAAUAUUUAAGUACAGAAAAUAUGUAUAUGAUAGCUUCUUGAAUUCUGAGAAAAUCUUUUCUCAUCGGUUUAAGAAAAAGUUAUUUAUUUUAGCACCUUCCUUGUUUCAAAGUAAGACACAAUUUAAGAAGUUGCAAUAUCCCAAAGAAAAAAACGAGUUCUUAUUCUUCAAACAUUAAGUUAAAACGUAAAGAAACCGUGACGUGGAACUUAUAAGAGAAUUAAUUUCUCCAGUUAAGAUCGCAAUUUUUUAUAGAUUUACGUAAUUUUUAUUUGUUUUUUUAAAAUUAUUUUUAUUAUAUGUAUUGCAAAUAUUAUUGCUUUAUAUUACAUCAGAUAUAUUUUUUUACUCGAAAUGAAAUUACCCUGAUAAAAAUGUUACGCAUUUUUUUUGAGCACUUACUAAACAGUUAUUUCUGCCUAGAAUAACUGAGAAACAAAACUAAUCUUAGAAUCAAGAUUAGUUUUGUCUGCAAUUGUUGCGCACAAAGGAUGUACAAAGUCUGAACAAAAACAAGACAAUAAAUGGACUAUUUCGUUAUUAAUAGUAAGCUUGAAAAUCUGUCUAUUAAUACUAGACAAUAAUGGGCAGAUGUCUAUAUGUAUUUUUAUUUGAAAAACUAUUUCAGCCAUUGAAUAAAACUUGAUUGUUGCAACAAAUGAAAAUACAAACAUACUAGUCAGUAACUUAAUAGGUGUUAAAUAAAAUUGCAUAUAUUUCUACCAGGGUAGUAUUAAAGAAGUUACAAAGUUACCUAUAGUGGAUUAAUUUUCGAAAUGACAAUGGAAAACAUAACUUACAUUCAUAGUAUGAUGUCACGUUCCUGCUAACUAAGGAAAUGCAAAAGUACGUGGAAUUUCAUUAUUUCGCUGUGUCCUGAAAUAAAUUCACAAGAAUGCAACGCGAUAUACAUUUUAUGUCGAUAUUUUAUACACGUUCUGUUAAAUGCUGUACUUUCGUUUGAAUAAUUACACGUGUAAACUUUGUAUCUGGAUAUAAAAGCCGUCGAGACGACAUCCAUUUCGCGAGUCCGAAAGAUUGAAAAUGGUGAUUCACGUUAAUUAAAUAAUAACAGACGUCGUAAAACUGGAGACUAGUUUGAAUUACAAAUCCACAAAAUGUGGAGAGCCACGACACCUAAUCCUGCAUAACUUUAUUCGCGAUAUUAAUUGGUUAUUAUAGCCCCCACAAAAAAACCAGAACAAAGUAAAAAGAAGAAUUACAUUUAACGGAGACAUUUAAAAAGCAUAGAUUUGCUCAGCGUUUAACUUAAAAACGCGUAAAAACCCGAGCAAUAUAAUGCGGAAGAUAUAAUAAAAAUAGACGUUUAAACUGCAUAAAUUUUUUUUUUAUGAGAGCUCUUUUAUAGUCAGGAUCUUCUCUGCGGUGCAAAAUGGGAAAUUUAUCGAUCGAUUUUCGAAUUCGAGAUGAUGACGCGCGCUCAACCGUAGCUCCUCACGUAAGUUAUCUGUGUGCAUGUAGAUCCAUAAUGCGGCCUAGAUUUCUAUGUACGAAGACUCGGGCCGGCUGAGCAAUGGCGGCCGGUCGGUUUGAACUCUAUCGAGUUUAUUCGACGGUAUACACCAGUGACUCCAAACAGUGUCGGCGCAAUAGACAUCGGGGUACACCGAUAUUGGUGUUUUUUUCCUCACUGCGACUACAUUUAGCUGAAUAUGACGCGCGAAUAUAAACGGUCGAAUUCUCUCUUAUUUUCGAAAAAAAAAGCUAAAACUCACGGAGGGAAAGGCUUAUUGAAAUAUGGGAUAAAGAAUUCACUGGAAAUUUUUAUUAAUAAAAGUUUAUUAAUAGAAAAUAUUUUUUUUUUUCAAUAACAGGGGAUAUAAAUGAGUGUCAUUACUAAAUCAUUAUUAAAUUAAACUCAGCGUAUUUGUUAGUCAACUGAUACAUGUGUCCUUCAUUGACGGCGCAACCUCAAAGACGGAGCGGAGACGAAAUAAGAUGACCUGUGACCGCGCUCCAUCACGCUCCCGCUCGGCGCUUAUCGGCGAUAGCGAUCGAUCGCAUUUAAAUAUGACUUCUACUUAAAUUUCAUGUAAUGCCGACGCAACUGGGACGCCGGGGCGAAAAUAGAACGCGCCGUACUGGCGUUCCGCUUUACAUUCGGCUUCGUAUUCGAGAAAGGGACGUUAAUUUCGCGUCGGCGAAAGACGACGUUAGCUGUGACGUGACACGCUACACGAUAGUGAGACGCAGAAAGACUUCCCGCAGGGAGAUCCGGAUGCACCCGCGUGCGUUGUUCCGCUUCCGCGACCGGUUGUCGCGACGAACAACUUCAUCCGGUACGUCGCAUCGGCGACGAAUCUUAUUAAAAAGAUACAUGCACCAGACGCGUUAAACGUUCUAAACUUCUUUCAAAUUACCUGUGCGAUUUCGUACUUUUUUUUGAAACCCAGAAUAGAUCUUACAACGAGAAAGUGGCACACGGAAAGAACGAGUUCUACUGAAGUAUCUAAAAGUAUCUAAAGUUUUGUUGGACUAUCAAAAUUAUUAUAAAGGACAUUUCAGCACGCAAUGCUGCAAAAAAUUUGACAGUCUGCACUCUCAGCAAUCAGCUUGAACGUUCUACAAUUAUGGGCUAUCAAAAAUCAUUUUCAGAUGUGUAUUCAGUUAAAUUUUUAGAUAGUUUAGUAAAAUCGUCCUUCAUGUGUGGAAAGAAAUUUUUACACCGAGAAAAAAAGUGAUUCAACGAAAUGUCUCGUUGCGGGCUGCCAACGAAAGAUAUACUCAAUACAAUAAUGCUAUUACAAUAUCAACAUCAUAAUUCAAUCGAGACCGUUGUACUUGCAUUAAUAGCAAAUAUUAUUAUAUUAAGUAUAUCUUUUAUUGGCAGCUUAUCGCAACAAAACAUUUUAUUGGGUCAAUUACUUUCUUUUUUUUGUGUAUAGAUUCCGUGUUACAUUAUAGGCUCUUAAAAUACAUAUAAAUUACGUGGAAUUACACUGUUAAACAUUAAAAUAUCAAAUUUAAGCCAAUUCUUUGAAUUAAAUAACAUUUUGUUAUUUUUUACUUUUAUGUGGGUCAAAAAUUGAUUAUAUUAACAUAAAAUAUAUGGAUAUAUAAUUCGACUGAAUAAAUUUACAUAGAUCAUAUAAAUAUAUAGAAAGAGUCAAAAUAGGGUAGCUGUCUCAAUUACUGCCGCUUUAAGUAUCUAAUGACAGUUGUUAUACUUAUUUUGUAAAUUUUUAAAUAUGUUAUAUACAUUUUUUUGUCGUUAUUAUAAGAAAAAAUUGUAAUAUGCAUAAAAGAAAAAUAACUUUGAAUAUUGAUUGAUUUAAAUAUAGCAAAACAAAGAAAAAUGUAAAAUAUAUAUUGCUGCUAAUCAGACUUUCUUGAUUACUUCUACACAUAUACUAUUAGCUUCCUAUUCUGUGCUAAGCAUUUAUCUUAUGUUUACAUAGUUUAAUUACAUGUUUUAAAAUAACGCUCUUAUACUUUUUAUUCUAACAUAAUGAACAAAAGUGGCAGUAAUUGAGACAGUUAUUCUACACACAGAAACAUUUAUUUUUAUGCUAAGAAAGGCAGUUUCUCAUUUUUUAUUUUUCUUCUUUUAAAUAACAGUUAUCUUUGUGUAUCUUCUUAAUGAAUAGUCUCAAAGUACACUCAUCACUUCAAACAAGUAAGAUUUACUUAAAAUAAACUUCUGUGUACACAGAGAAAUAUUUGAAUUAAAUAAUUAAGUGUCACUUAUUUUAAAUAAUUUAUAACUCUAUAAUCUAAAGAUAAAUUUAUAUAUCUGCAAAUCUAUCGCAAGUUUAUUAUAAGUAACAAAUUUAUUAAAAAUAUAUUCUGAAUCCUAGUAAUUUAAUACUUUAAUUAAGAAUAUUAAGUUAAAAUAAAAAUUCGAUUUACUUAUUACUUUAACUUUUCUUCAAUUUAAUUUUAUAAUAUUCUUCGAGAAAGUAGAGUAUAAAUUCCUUUUUCAAGUACAUGAUAAAGAGUUUUUCUAAAAUUCGUGAUAAGUAUAUUUUAAGACUGUUAUCAAGAAAAUAUUGUUUAUCGAAGAUAACCGUUACUUAUUAGAAAGAAGAAAAUAAAUCGUUUUUCUUGGCAGUAGAAUAAAUAUUUUUCUGUGUGUAUGCGUACAUCUCAUAAAAAAUGUCUUCGUUUGGACUAAGAGAGAAAAACGUAAACCGCUUCGACAAUUAUCUGGUCUCGAGUUUGAUGAUUGUUUUACACUUUGCAAGUACGCAUCUGAAAACGCGCUCGAUCGCGCGGUCGAGAAUUUAUACGCGCACAUAUACGUCUGUAAGGGAAGAAUUUCGUGUCGUGAACGGAAAACAGAAAAUCUAUCGCCCGCAAUCUGUCGUAGCUAUCGCUUUCAGUGAACAUUCCCCGCAUUAUAUCCGCGUCGCUAUAUCGCUUACGACAGCGCGCGCGCUCCAAAGUUUUCCAUGUGCGGCAACGAAGUUUAUGCCGGCGGGUUCGCGAUCCUUCACACGCGCGUAGGAAUAAUCUGCAUAAUUGCGCGGAGCCGCACGUUGCAAUUGCAGCAUUUUUUGCUACGCGACCUCUUUAGCGCGAGCGUAAGCGAACAGCGAAAAUUUCAGCUCGAUCAUACGUGCAAAUCACGUGUAUCUCACCGUCGCAAUAAUGAUACUUCCAACAUCUCUGUGAUAUUAUUGAUGAUUGAUAGCUGUUUAUGCCGUGCCCGUGAUUAUGAAAGUAGCGUAAAUCGUAUCCUGUAUUGCGGGACGGCUGGGCUUUUGUGCUUUCGCGUGUGCGUUACGUUAUUAUAUCGCAAAUAUAUUUUAUAAUAUCACAUCUUGAAAAUUAAUAAAAAAAAAAGACAUCCAAUUGUGGAAACGUUCAAUUUUACUAAAAGAAAGAGACACGCGAAAGGGAAAAAAAAAACUGUACUUUCCACCGCGUUUCGAGUUGACUUCAUAUUUUUAAUUAUUACGCGAUUAAUCUAUCAAGAGUGUGAGAUAGAGCGCGAUUCUCAAUAAUAGAGCGAAUAAAUGUCGGAAAAGUGAGUGAGUUUGCAUUAGGUUACGUCAUCCGCCGUUACAUAAAUGAUACGGAUGUUACCAUUAAUAUAUUGCAUAUUGGAUUUCUCUUGGAGUUUCCAGGAGGAAAAUGGACUACAAUAAUAAAGAAUUAAUUUCUCAGGCUCGAUGAUAAUUUCGUAGAUGAUGCCGCGUGCGUGAUGUAAUGAAACCGGAGAGCGUGCGCCACGAUAAUAUCGAGCGUAUACACGUGCUAGCCAGGCCAGGCCAGGCCGGCGCGCGAGCGUUCCUCGAGGAUCGAUUUUUUUUUUCUCCCUUUAUUAUACCUCAUUGUGGAAAUUGCGGAAUAACACACUCCCUUGAUGAACCGCUCAAUUAUCGAAUUAUUCGACGCGCGGACCUGUUUUUCCGCUUAUUCCUCGGUCGAAAGCGCGGGGCGCCGAUGCAAACGCCCCCGACGUGCACGCGACCUGCCCGGCGACAGGUCAUGCAAAGUAAUAAACUAAACGGGGGGGAGGAAAAGGUUCUCUUCGCGGGGCGAAGGAUUAAGGGCAGAGUGACGUAGUACGGAGGUCCUCGUCGCCCAUGUUUCAGCCGACGGGGACAACCGGAAAACGCCCGGCUAUAUACGUUCGACCGUCGGCGGCUUCUCCGUGUUUAGCACGUGCUCCCGGUGCCUAUCGAUCGGCGGCGACGAGGCCCACGGCCGCUUUUCUCGUUCGUGUAAUGCGUAGUAAAGCGGCGCCCGGCGAGGACGUCGCGAGAAAAAGAGACGAACGGAUGCAGCCCAGCGACGACGGACGUCGUCUUGCGACGAGCGGCGCCAGGGCCGAUCGUAUCGUAUCGUAAUCGAGAAAAAGAGCGGAUAAGAACGGAACGCCUCGCGGAAAGCGGAUUACACCUCGAUCGUCGCGGCACCUUGCGUCAUCGUUGUUUUGCAUCCCGUUGUUCGCGAUGACUUAAUCGAAUUUUCGUUCCGCGCGCCGCUCCGCGUCCCGCGUUCCAGAUAAAAAAAAAAAAAAAGAAA